AUUGAACGCUGGCGGCAUGCCUUACACAUGCAAGUCGAACGGCAGCAUGAUCUAGCUUGCUCGAUUGAUGGCGAGUGGCGAACGGGUGAGUCAUACAUCGGAACGUGCUCUGUAGUGGGGGAUAACUAGUCGAAAGAUUAGCUAAUACCGCAUACGACCUGAGGGUGAAGGUGGGGGACCGCAAGGCCUCAUGCUAUAGGAGCGGCCGAUGUCUGAUUAGCUAGUUGGUGAGGUAAAGGCUCACCAAGGCGACGAUCAGUAGCUGGUCUGAGAGGACGAUCAGCCACACUGGGACUGAGACACGGCCCAGACUCCUACGGGAGGCAGCAGUGGGGAAUUUUGGACAAUGGGCGAAAGCCUGAUCCAGCAAUGCCGCGUGUGUGAAGAAGGCCUUCGGGUUGUAAAGCACUUUUGUCCGGAAAGAAAUGGCUCUGGUUAAUACCUGGGGUCGAUGACGGUACCGGAAGAAUAAGGACCGGCUAACUACGUG
rnacentral:rRNA from 1 species